CGCGCAGGCGGCCUGUUAAGUUGGAUGUGAAAGCCUAUGGCUCAACCAUAGAACUGCAUCCAAAACUAUCAGGCUAGAGUGUGGGAGAGGAAGAUGGAAUUAGUUGUGUAGGGGUAAAAUCCGUAGAGAUAACUAGGAAUACCAAAAGCGAAGGCAAUCUUCUGGAACAUUACUGACGCUGAGGCGCGAAAGCGUGGGGAGCAAACAGGAUUAGAUACCCUGGUAGUCC
rnacentral:rRNA from 1 species